GCCCGAGGGAAGAUGUAUACUCGAGGAGCAAUUCUCGGGAGGAAAGUCCGAACACCUCCAAGAUAAUAUGACAGCUAACGGCUGUGGCUAUGAUAUAAUCCAUAAAAUCAUAGUACGGAAAGUGCCGCAGAGACAAUACUAUCUCGAGCAAUUGAGAGAAAGGUGAAAAGUCUUUGGAUAUGAUUUUCUGUAGAGACGUCCAUUUAUGGCGUCUAUAUAAAGAAUUUACCAAAGAACAUCCAGAGUAAUCUGGAGAUGUUGGCAAACCCUAUAUGGUGCAAGAGGAAUGGUAUUAUACAAAUUAAAGUAUCUUGGCUGAUUUGUGUAAUAUACCUCGCUUGAGAUUUGGAGCAAUUCAAAUCCUAGAUAGAUUUACAUCGAAAUACAGAAUUCGGCUUAUUACCCUUAAAUUUUU
rnacentral:RNase_P_RNA from 1 species